rnacentral:rRNA from 1 species
CACGUAGGGCGCGAGCGUUGUCCGGAAUUAUUGGGCGUAAAGAGCUCGUAGGCGGCCUGUCGCGUCGACCGUGAAAACCCGCAGCUCAACUGCGGGCUUGCGGUCGAUACGGGCAGGCUGGAGUUCGGUAGGGGAGACUGGAAUUUCUGGUGUAGCGGUGAAAUGCGCAGAUAUCAGGAGGAACACCGGUGGCGAAGGCGGGUCUCUGGGCCGAUACUGACGCUGAGGAGCGAAAGCGUGGGGAGCGAACAGG